rnacentral:rRNA from 1 species
AGUCUGCCUUGAAGAUCGGAGUGCUUGCACUCUGUGAAACAAGAUACAGGCUAGCGGCGGACGGGUGAGUAACACGUGGGUAACCUGCCCAAGAGAUCGGGAUAACACCUGGAAACAGAUGCUAAUACCGGAUAACAACAGAUGAUGCCUAUCAACUGUUUAAAAGAUGGUUCUGCUAUCACUCUUGGAUGGACCUGCGGUGCAUUAGCUAGUUGGUAGGGUAACGGCCUACCAAGGCGAUGAUGCAUAGCCGAGUUGAGAGACUGAUCGGCCACAUUGGGACUGAGACACGGCCCAAACUCCUACGGGAGGCAGCAGUAGGGAAUCUUCCACAAUGGACGCAAGUCUGAUGGAGCAACGCCGCGUGAGUGAAGAAGGGCUUCGGCUCGUAAGCUCUGUUGUUGGUGAAGAAGGACAGGGGUAGUAACUGACCUUUGUUUGACGGUAAUCAAUUAGAAAGUCACGGCUAACUACGUGCCAGCAGCCGCGGUAAUACGUAGGUGGCAAGCGUUGUCCGGAUUUAUUGGGCGUAAAGCGAGUGCAGGCGGCUCGAUAAGUCUGAUGUGAAAGCCUUCGGCUCAACCGGAGAAUUGCAUCAGAAACUGUCGAGCUUGAGUACAGAAGAGGAGAGUGGAACUCCAUGUGUAGCGGUGAAAUGCGUAGAUAUAUGGAAGAACACCGGUGGCGAAGGCGGCUCUCUGGUCUGUUACUGACGCUGAGGCUCGAAAGCAUGGGUAGCGAACAGGAUUAGAUACCCUGGUAGUCCAUGCCGUAAACGAUGAGUGCUAAGUGUUGGGAGGUUUCCGCCUCUCAGUGCUGCAGCUAACGCAUUA